GCUGCCACAGCUUUGCGUACAUGUGAUAACAAAAUGUUCCAUCACCUAACGCGGAGACACAAUCGUCUGUGUUAUCGCAACUUAGAGGCAGUCAAAGAUCACAUGUAGAGCAGGUUGUCCACUGGUUGAGUUAGACAAGAGUAUGUGAGAACGAGUUAUGUCGAAAGCCAAAUUACUCUGUGCGGUCGCUCUCGGUGUUUCUGCUUUGUCCGCAGUGCUUGGAGUUUUGACGGCAGCGCCAGCUGAUGAGAAAGAAAAAGAUCUAACGAACGAAACGGAACGCUAUCCUUUGGUCAAUUGGGAUUUUAAUCAUGUCGAGAUUCCUUAUGUCAUAUGUUUGUGGAUCUUACUGGCGAGCGUGGCCAAGAUGGGGUUCCACCUGUACGACCGUCUGUCCUCACUGUUUCCUGAGAGCUGUCUUCUCAUUACCCUGGGCAUCUGUGUCGGCGUGACCCUCCAUUACAGCCAUGCAGCAUCCACCUCGCAGUACGUCCUCAACGCCAACACAUUCUUCCUCUUCAUCCUGCCUCCUAUAAUCUACGAUGCAGGCUACCACAUGCCAAACAGGGCCUUCUUCAACAACCUUGGCACCAUCCUCCUUUUGGCCAUCGUCAACACGCUGUGGAACACCGUGGGCAUUGGUGUUGCAUUGUGGGGGUGUUCCGCGGCUGGGUGGAUCAAGCGGCCAAUCAGCAUGCUCCACUGCUUCGUGUUCAGUGCACUGAUCUCAGCCGUAGACCCGGUAGCGGUGCUGGCAGUGUUCGAGGAGAUUCAUGUCAAUGAGAUGCUGUACAUUAUCGUGUUCGGGGAGUCCCUUCUCAAUGAUGGAGUCACUGUGGUGGUGUACCACAUGAUGGAGGGUUACACAGAGAUCGGGGAGUCCAACAUCCAGGUCAUUGACUACGUCUCUGGCAUUGGAUCCUUCUUCAUCAUAGCACUUGGUGGGACACUUAUCGGAAUCAUCUACGGCCUGAUUGGUGGAUUCAUCACCAAGCAUACCGGCCAUGUCAAGGUCAUCGAGCCUCUCUUUGUCUUUGUUCUGGGAUAUCUUGCCUACCUGAGUGCUGAGAUGCUUCACUGGUCAGGAAUCUUAGCUUUGACGUUUGGCGGCAUCACAAUGAGACACUACGUGGAAGCGAACAUGUCAAAGCAGUCUGUGGCCACUGUCAAGUACUUCCUGAAGAUGCUGGCCAACAUCAGCGAGACUGUCAUCUUCAUGUUCCUCGGGCUCUCCACCGUCAUCGAUGACCAUGACUGGCAGCUCGACUUCAUCUUCUUCUCCAUCCUUUUCUGCCUUGUCUUUCGUGUCACAGGCAUUGUGAUGCUGUCAGCCAUUGUCAAUAGGACCCGGCUGAUCAAGUUGUCGAAGAUUGACCAGUUUAUCAUGUCGUACGGCGGCCUGCGCGGUGGCAUCGCCUUCUGCUUGGCCUUGCUUCUCAAUGAAGAAGUGGUCACGGAGAAGAGGAUGUUUGUUAGCACCACCAUCAUUGUUGUCUUCUUCACAGUGUUCCUGCAGGGAAUCACAAUCAAGCCUGUGGUUAAUGCUCUAAAGAUUGAGCGGGCGAAGGAGAUCGAGCCGACUAUGAAUGAAAGGAUCCACGAACGUUUUAUUGACCACCUGAUGGCCGGGAUCGAGGACGUGGUGGGCAGAACAGGCCAUAACUCCAUCCGAGAUAAGUUUGAGCACUACAACACCAAGUACAUCAAACCUUUGCUGCUGAGAGAGAAACCAAAGACAAGAGAGACAAAAAUCUUCCAAGUGUUCACCAAACUGAACCUGCGUGACGCCAUCGACCACAUCGAGACUCACGGCAACUUCUCCCCCGUCUCCAUCCCUGCUGAACCCUCCCUAGCCAAGGUCAUCAGGUCCUACUCCGUUGCAGAGUCUGUCAACACAGUGGACAGUGAACCCCCAGUGGACACCGGCAAGACUGUGCUGGACAUGCAGUCCGUGGAUGCCAUCUACACCGAGAAGCUCGCAGACGCGGGACACAUUCACCACGUGCUAGAGGACUCCAUGUUCAGGACGCGCAAGACGUGGGUGAGAGAUAGAAAGUAUUCACUAUCUGAAGUUUGCAAUCAUUCCCCUUUUCGGCACAAGGAGCGCUACCAACUUCGGCGCCUCAUCAGCCAGGCCUACAAGACCCGCAGAGGAAAUCCCCAGAAUGGCAGUCCCAGCAUGGUAGAACCUCAGCCCGUCAAAGUGGUCACCUUCAGUAAUGAGACAAAGUCCAGCACAGAACAGCCCCCAGUAGUGGAUCAGUUCACCAACAGCUUGAUGCCCGCCCAGGAGUCCACCACAAGUGACAGAGUCGUCUUCUCUUUGGGGUCCUCCUCCAAUCUGGCCGGAGGCAACAUGUCGCCAAUGCUCGACACAGACCAGAAAGUCCCUGUUGAGGAAACUGCAGCUGAGAGAACGUUGCCAUGGAAAAGAAUCUCUACAAACGACAUUGUCCCGAGCCUCACAACGCUAAUCAUGGCCGAUGACGAAAAGCCUCUCAUGUCGGAGGCACCAUCUUGGGUGAGCAAUCCAUCUUACCACAAUCUUCUGGAAUCUGGGUCGCCGUACGUGUCGCCACAGACUACGCUUACAGCACCCCCUGAACAAACGCAUACACCAUCUGUAUUUGAAAUCUUUCAACAACAAUUUAGCCAAAAGGUGGAGGUAUUAGGUGAUAGCCCGAACGUGGCUGCGGCAGACACUACAACUCCCAAUCCCUGGGACUUAGGAGGGGAGGAGGAGCCCAUUGCGUCACCAAUUUCCAUUCAGAAUGGCGACAAGACAAACAACCUGCUCCACUCGGCACAUUCCGUGUUUCCGCCUCCGCACCACGUCAUCAUUCCGGGUCAUCUCCAUCGACCACCACAGAUCCGCAAAUCUCUGUCCCUGCCGGGGAAAGCCUCUUCGCCCCAAUCACCAAAACACUGGCAGCCAAUUGAAAUGCAAGAUGGCAAUGUGUAUAGAAAAUGUCCAUCUGAAGCAGAAAUUAUUUUUGACGAAGUAUCAUACCAACAAGAUGUGAAAUCCCGUGUUUCGGAAUGGCUGCAACACACUGACGAUUCGGAGCCGGAAGAAUACGACGGCAUACAAGUUAAUUUUAGCAAUCAUCAAUGUGCAACCAAUGGGUUUGAGAUUGAUUCUGGGGAGGAGUCGGAUAUUGAAAUGACGUAUUUAUAAUGACAGUGAAAUCUAGGAAAUUUCUACGUCCUUUCUGUGCCUUUGCAGUUUCCAUGGUGUGAUAUUAUACCUGUUGCCAUGACAACAAGUCACAUUUAAUUUUUCUCAUGCAAACGAUUAUGCUAUUUAUAGAUGACUCCUCUCCCCCUUUCCCAAAGAUGCAACAUUGUAAUAUAUAUGACAUUUUAUGUUAAAAGCAUUGUAAAUAUUUGUACAGUUAAUUUUACUCAUAUUUAUUAUACAUCCCUUGAAAUUUGACCUCUUUUAAAACAAAUUCCAUUCCAAAUACUGAAUGAAUUCAAGAGACGGAAAUUGAUAAUUUGAAAACAAAAAGCUUUUGAGUAUGGCAUGGUGGCAUAUUGUCCAGGGGAGACAACUCUUCAUGCCAGUUAAUUAUGACCGAAUCAGUUGUUUUGUGAGAUCAAUUUGGGGUUUAGCAUAUAAAAGUAAUGUUUGAUUUGACAUAUUUUUUCUCCAACAAUGGACAUGACAUGACUCGGUUGCUUCAUUUGUAUAUACUAUUUAUUUCAUGCAAGAAUUUAUGUAAUCACAUGCAGUUGUCAUGGUUUCUGUUCAAAUUUUGAUGUUCAUAUUCUUCAAAUGCUCAAUAUUUCAUAUUAUGCAUUAACUGAUAAUGUCCAUACCUUUUUCUUUAGACAGAAGUGAACAAGAAUUAAAUCAGGUACAUAUUUAUUUGUUCUUGCACUCAGGUACUGAAUUUCUCUCCUUUUGAAACAUACAUACCAGUGGUAACCAGUGUGAAACAGAGCUCGCUGCAAGUAUCAAGCUUGUUCCCCAGCACUCCACAGACUAUGGGGUCACCAGUAUUCUUAAUUCAGAUUGUUACCGCAAAAAUUUAUGAGUUGAGAGUUGAUGUAAGAUCUUAAUUUCAUUACCAAUUGAUUGGAAAAAUAUUUACUUUCUAUUUCUAAAUCUUGAAAUGAAUUCAUACAUAUUGGAGCUUUUAACGUAGAUAUUUUGUGUAAGGGCUGCUUCGUCCCUGAUAUUUGAGGGAGCAGGCCGUCAUUGGUUGUGGAGGCUCCGGCAUGGUGUCUGUUGGAACAUGGAUCGAACAAACACAGCCCUGGAGUUUGGAUGAUGUUAUAUAAAAGAUGUCUGUAAGAAUUCCCUGAUCAAGUGAUAAUAAUUCAUAUGUCACGUUUAUGAAUUCUAAAUUUCAUAUCUCGAACUGAAAAUUUGAUCUCAUAUUUCACAUGAUACAGUGUAUUUACAUUGAUUAUUAUUAAAAAAUGACAGCUUUUUACGAUUAUACAAUUGUACAUUUAUGAAACAAGUUCAAAACCAGUUAACAUUGUGCCAGGACAUCAGUUUCUGUGGGGAAAAAUGUUUUUUAUAUACCCAGUCAGUUUUGUUGUUGUAUCUUUGUGAUCAGUGAAAAUACAUGACAGAUGGGUCGUCGUCCAUCACACCACAAUGCAAGCUACAGUCGAUGCAAUCAGCAAGUAUGUGUGCAAAGACAGCUCAAUGUAAAUAAACUUGUUAGAAAUACAGGCAAAUACAUAAGCAGCAUGCUCCAGUCUCCAAGGCCCUCGGAUCAUUGCAUGAACUCUCACAUUAAUUACCUUCCAGUCCUGAGCAAUAUGGUCUGCUUGACCAUCAUGUGACAGUUAAUUGUCCCAUAAGUUUCCAAAUCAGUAUGAAGCUCUCAUAUAACAGUGGAAUAUUUUAAUCCUUGAAUAACUCACCAUUUAGUUUGGAUAAAUAUCCAGGACCCAUUCACUACCAUAGCUUUGUAUUUAGCCUGAUUUGAUUGACGUGAUGCUUAGUACUGUCCAAAGACAUAUAUAGAUAUAUAAAAGGUCUUUGUUAUCUCCAAUCGAAUUACCCUCCCAAGGGAGAUAACUGGGCUAAUAUUGUGACACUUCUUUAAACAAAGCUUUGGUUGUGAAGGUGCCAAGGGUAUUUGUCAUGAUAGAAUGGCGACAUUGUACUCUGGAUAAUUGGGGAAGGAGUUUUUGGUCUGGUUACCAGGAUAUUGAAGACAAUUGUAUGAAUGUUUUCAAUUAUGCUUUUCAGCAGUAAGUCAGCAGGGGAACAACAGCCAUUUAGAUGCAAUAACUCGUUCAGCCUUAAUGUAACUCUGUCCUAGUGCAGGCGUACUGACCACAAGACUGGGAGAAGUUGGUUGCCCAGUCAUGUCCUUUGAACAUGCCUUUACAGACUUCCACAAGUUGGGCUAAUAAUCAUGAUAAUUGCAGUGUUAGAAAUACUCUAAACUUGUAGCUCAUGAUGAAAUGUGUUUUGCUUAUUCACAUUACAGCGAUGAAAUUAAAUAGUAUCAGAAAGUAUUAUACACUGUAAAAUACUACUAUGUUACUAACGCCUCAGAGUAUUGUCAAUUUCUUAUACAAAUAUUAAUAUUUUAAAUUUUUUAAAAAUAAUUAAAUGUAUAUAAGAGUAAUAUUGUUAUGCUAUUUGCUAUUGAAAGUUUCUAUGGAGUGUUUUUUUUAUCAAUGUGCAGCCUUCAGAAAUUCCUGUAUUAUAAAUCUUGGGUGGCCUUUCCAUUGUUUUGAGCAUCCACCCUUAUGUACCAUGUUAUAUUACCACUAUGUAUGGGUGUUUGGUAUCCAGUCACCAUGACGGUCAUGGCCAGGCAAUGAAGGUCAUUGACCCUAAGGACGCCAACAUCAGUUCCUGUUGGAGAAAGAUCUGUUGUGUUGUGCCUUGUCAGUUGUGCUGUGUACGGCAACAUGAUAGUUUAGCAGUAAAGAAUGACCAUGGUACUGUUGUGGUGAUCUAACAUGUCGGUGCGAUCUGAUACACAUAGAACCUGUGUUUGUCAGCCAUGGUUAGGUAUGUUUUGUGUUUUAUUGGCUUGUGUACCGGAAGGCUUCGAUAAGUGCAAGCAUCCCUUUGUGAGAUUGUCUUUCCGUUUGAACUGACCUGAAAUCUUGUGCUACCCACCUUGGAAGAGGCUGUAUUAGAUUUCAGUUGGGGGCUGUAGUUCAUUCAGUUAUUUAUAUCCUAACUUAAAGAACUGUGUUGUAUGUGAGAGCACGUCAUAUUGCCAGAGAUUGUACAUGACAUCUGAUGUUGCCAGAGAUUGUACUUGGCCUCUGAUAUUACCAGAGAUUGUACCGGUAGAGUUCCUCCAAGAUUGCCAGAGAUUGUUUAUAGUCUUUGAUAAUAUCAAAGGUUGUAUAUGGUCUCUGAUAUUUGUAUACGGUCUCUGAUGGUACCAGAUAAUGUAUAUGGUCUCUGAUAUUGCCAGAGAUUGUAUAUUACCUCUGAUAUUGCCAGAGAUUGAACAUGACCUCUGAUAUUGCCAGAGAUUGAAUAUGGUCUCUGAUGGUACCAGAGAUUGUAUAUGGUUACUGAUAUUGACAGAGAUUGUAUAUGGUCUCUGAUAUUACCAGAGAUUGUAUAUGGUCUCUGAUAUUGCCAGAGAUUGUAUAUGGUCUUUGACGGUACCAGAGAUUGUAUAUGGUCUUUGACGGUACCAGAGAUUGUAUAUGGUCACUGAUAUUGCCAGAGAUUGUAUAUGGUCUCUGAUAUUACCAGAGAUUGUAUAUGGUCUCUGAUAUUGCCAGAGAUUGUAUAUGGUCUCUGAUAUUGCCAGUGAUUGUAUAUGGUCUCUGGUGGUACCAGAGAUUGUAUAUGGUUACUGAUAUUGUCAGUGAUUGUAUAUGGUCUCUGAUAUUGCCAGAGAUUGUAUAUGGUCUCUGAUGGUACCAGAUAUUGUAUAUGGUCUCUGAUAUUGUCAGUGAUUGUAUAUGGUCACUGAUAUUGUCAGAGAUUGUAUAUAGUUACUGAUAUUGCCAGUGAUUGUAUAUGGUCUCUGAUAUUGUCAGUGAUUGUAUAUGGUCACUGAUAUUGCCAGAGAUUGUACAUGGUCACUGAUAUUGCCAGAGAUUGUAUAUGGUCUCUGAUAUUGCCAGAGAUUGUAUAUGGUCACUGAUAUUGCCAGCGAUUGUAUAUGGUCUCUGAUGGUACCAGAGAUUGUAUAUGGUCACUGAUAUUGCCAGAGAUUGUAUGUGACAUCUGAAAUUGCCAGAGAUUUUAUCUUCAGUCUGUGAUGGUACCAGAGAUUGUAUAUGGUCACUGAUAUUGCCAGAGAUUGUAUGUGACAUCUGAAAUUGCCAGAGAUUUUAUCUUCAGUCUGUGAUGGUACCAGAGAUUGUAUAUGGUCACUGAUAUUGCCAGAAAUUGCAUGUGACAUCUGAAAUUGCCAGAGAUUUUAUCUUCAGUCUGUGAUGGUACCAGAGAUUGUAUACAGUAAAAGAUGUUCCCAGCCAGAGAUUGCAUCUUGUAUUGUCUCUGGUGUUGCUUCAUUCAUACUUUAUGUCCUAGAUGCAGUACAAUACCUCUGGCAUAUUACCAGGAUAUUUAUUCUGUUUACUCAUGAGCAUAUUUAUAUAUAUACAUUCACAAACAUUUCUGUUGUGUAUUCUUUCAUUAUCAUCAGCCUUAUUCAGAAUGCAUUAACAAUCAAUGAUGCCAGAAGGAAGUGCUUACACAAGAAUGUUUACCAAAGAUUCCAUUGUAAUCGUUUACUUUGUAUGCAACCUUUACAAAUAUGUCCUUAUGCAUUAUGAGACAUGCCUUCCAGAACAUAUGCGGCAGGAGGCGGUUGCCAAACGAUUUCCUGUAUAAUAUUUCCAAUGGAGAUUCGUGAGUAUUGAUAUGCUGUCGACACAGUUGAUGGGUAGAAAUAGAUUUAUGUGCUUGUGGGACAUCAGCGAAUCAUGGACACAUGAAGAGGGUGUUUCUUACCAGGAACCAAUUAUGUUCCAAAUCUGAAAUGAUUAAGGAAUCCAAGGGGAUUGACUCCUAAUUGAGAUUAAAUAACUGUGGUGAUUCUUUUUAAGUUCUUUUUAAGUUGAUUGAGGUCAGGCUAGAAAUGAUACUAGUUAAGGCAUGUCUUUAUUUCUUUUAAACAAUUCAAGAAUUUUACAUGUCAUGUGGUUUAUGUGUGUGCAUAUACAGCAGAUGUCGAAUGUAGUGUGACCGUCAAGGGUGGUGCGACCGUUUGGGGUGAUGUGACAAUGGAGAGUGAAGGGCGAUGUGACCAUCAAGGGUGGAGUGAUCAUCGAUGGUGAUGUCAUCUCGUAGUGUACAUGGCUAUGGUGGAUAUCAGUGGGGAGAAGGGGUGUUGUAGUCCAAGUAUUAAUAUCAUGAUGAAAUAAACAAACUAGAAACAA
rnacentral:misc_RNA from 1 species